rnacentral:miRNA from 1 species
CAUUAGCUACCUGUAGUAGUACA